AGCAAUAUAUUUUACAUCAAUAAGUCCGUUGGAUUAACGUUAAAAAACGUUAGCAAGAAAAACAUGUAUUAAAAUUGUGUAUAUUAUAACAAGUUAAAGCCUUUCAGAAAUGUAGAUCGCAAGAAGCUGACAGCUAAGAAAGAAAGCUAAACUUAAUUUAUGGUACGGGGAAGGUCUUUAAAGCCAUUGAUCAGUAUCAAAUUACGCACUUAGUCACCAACAAUGAAAAUUCUUAUCUCUGGAUACACACAAAGAUGCUUCCGGCACGGAAAAUGGAAAACGGUGGGGAGGCAUUGGGUGGCUGGAAAAGCUCCGAGAUGAGCGGAGGGUGCAACCAAUCAGCGAGGCCCGCAAAAAUGUUACUUUUUCGUUUUCUUGAUGGAAACGCAGCAGCGAAUGAGAAAUGUAGAGGAAAAGCGUUAGCACUCGCUCGCACACAUGUGGACGCCGCGAAAAAAGUGGCACAAAAACGGCAAACUUUUGUGUGUUUUCUCGACGGUUGUCUAAAAAUAAGAAUAAAAGAGGUGCAGCCAAUAAGAAGGAGACAGCGGCAGACAAACAGCAAACAAUACAGCAACCAACGAGAUGCGAUGGAGCAUGCCAGAAAUGGUAGCAGGAAUCGCUGAAAACAGGGGCAAAACUAAAAAAGUCAACCAAACAAUUGUAUGCGAAAAAAUGGCUUAAAACAGCAGCGCACGGCAACAGGCAGAGGACAAUGGGUACAGGAUUCUACUAAAAGGGUGCGUAAAAUAUCCGGAUUCGAGGACCAAACUCAUGGCUCAAAGGAAUCAUUCCCUCCUGAAAGCGACAAUGUAACAGCGACUUACGUUGAUAGUCCUAACAAUAGUUAUAACAAAGUUUUUCCAUAUUAAAAAGAUGUUUAAUUGAAUUUUCCGGAUAGUCUUGGCAAUAGUAAAAAUAAAAUGUUUUCUUUAUUUA